rnacentral:rRNA from 1 species
UACGUAGGGGGCAAGCGUUGUCCGGAAUCAUUGGGCGUAAAGCGCGUGUAGGCGGUCCGGUAAGUCGGUUGUGAAAGUCCAGGGCUCAACCCUGGGAUGCCGACCGAUACUGUCGGACUAGAGUUCGGAAGAGGCGAGUGGAAUUCCCGGUGUAGCGGUGAAAUGCGCAGAUAUCGGGAGGAACACCAAUGGCGAAGGCAGCUCGCUGGGACGUUACUGACGCUGAGGCGCGAAAGCCAGGGGGGCAAACGGG